rnacentral:rRNA from 1 species
UACGAGAGGUCCAAGCGUUAUUCGGUAUCACUGGGCUUAAAGAGUUCGUAGGCGGCUCCGUAGGUGAGGUGUGAAAGCCCUCGGCUCAACCGAGGAAUUGCGCUUCAAACCGUGGGGCUUGAGGGAGACAGGGGUAAGCGGAACAGAUGGUGGAGCGGUGAAAUGCGUUGAUAUCAUCUGGAACACCGGUGGCGAAAGCGGCUUACUGGGUCUCUUCUGACGCUGAGGAACGAAAGCUAGGGUAGCGAACGGG